UACAGAGGUCCCAAGCGUUGUUCGGAUUCACUGGGCGUAAAGGGUGCGUAGGUGGUCAGGUAAGUUUGAUGUGAAAUCUCCGAGCUUAACUCGGAAACGGCAUUAAAAACUACUUGGCUGGAGGGUCGGAAGGGGGGCUGGAAUUCUCGGUGUAGCAGUGAAAUGCGUAGAUAUCGAGAGGAACACCAGUGGCGAAAGCGAGUCCCUGGACGACUCCUGACACUGAGGCACGAAAGCUAGGGGAGCAAACAGG
rnacentral:rRNA from 1 species